UAUGUAUUUUAGAUACACAUGAGUAUCAGGCCAUACAAUUCAACAUUUAAUUACAAACUUCCCAAAGUCUUUGAUUCUGAGCCUCCUGCUUGUAUAAGCUGUAUUUACAAGAGACAUAAAAGAUGGAGAAAGGUCUUGAAUUUAGCUAUUUAUGAAUUUGUUACUGCAUGCAUAUAACGGUCAAUAAAUAAAUUCUACAUAUUUCUUUUCUAUUUAAGUGACGAGUCCCUAAAUGUAAACAGAAACCACGGCAACAAAGAACUUUGCACCCUCAAAUACUUUUGAAGGUCCAAAGCGUGCGUCAAAUAUCCCCCAUGUACUGCUCUGCAGGUUGUCCAACCCUCCUCCAUGGUCCAAUCCUUGGCAUUGCGCAAGAGUGUGAGGAUAUCCCACACAUGCACAAUGUCCUUUUGUAUUACUCGCAGACACAAAAGACAAGCGGCUUUUGUUGGGCGUGCGCGUGACCGCGGUCACAUGUACAUGUACGACGAUUAACGGUCAUCGAUAAAUACUUGUUUGUCGUCUACAGUAGAAAUCUUGGCGGUUAUAUGGUAAUUCAUUGAGUUGAAAAUGGUCACAUCCAAAAAAGAGCUGGGCCUUUUGGAUGCGGUAGAAAGAAAAAUCGAUGUUGGGGGUCUAGUUCAUUUACCUUUCUGCUAAAAGUGUGUACAAAGCCCCCAAAGUAGAGCAUCAUUCCUCUGGAAAAGCCACAACAGGUCACAUGAAAAGAUUUUGCCCCAACUGUGCCCCCCACCCCAAUAUUUGGGUCUGAAUUCACCCCUUGCAAGUGACCCAGUCUCUUGUGCGUCCAAGUGUAUUUCAAAAUAAAACAACUGUGUUGAAAUUUCACUUUUUGGCCGAGGUACGUACCUAAUCCACUAACUAAAAAUCGUUCGAAUUAUUUUAACAGAUCUGUAAAAUAUACAAACAGCUAACUGUGAAAAGAUUUGAUAAACUUUGACAAGCAAGUAUUUAAUAAUUUCUGUAUGUUUCUUUGCGCCGUUUGUCAUGCCCAAGCAAAAGUGUUCGUACAUGGAAAACAGGAGUCAACAAGGCUAUGCACGAUGCCUACUAGGUCAGUUAUGGGCUAAGCAAACCAUUAACUAUGGUCUGAAGUGAUUCACUUCAGAGACAUAUUGUAUGCAAAUCGAAAGCUCACACGAUGCGCACGUUUUCUAAGGAGAAAGUAAUCUUUACAUGGUUAAAGCUUAUUGUCUGUGAUUAUACAAAUAAAUACAUGUAGGUGCAUGACUGACUUAACAAAAAUCUUUGCGUUCAUUGAGUGUCCUUCACAAAGUUAUUCGAACACAAGCCUGUCGUACGAACCACCGUCACACCACGACGACACGGUCUGCACCCAUGCAAACGCUCAUUAUAAUUAUAGACGUAUUUAUUAAUGGAAGAUAUUUCCUUCAAAAGAGGGGGCUUUCAUUUUAUGCAUAACCCCCCCCCCCAAAAGAAAGAUUAAUUAAUUGAUUUCUGUGUUUCGGAGGGGGCAGCUUCAAGACAUGACAGACAUCCACCGGGGACUAUACCUUACACUUGUGCUAAGCUCUUUGCUUACAGUUGAGGCCUGGGCGGGUGAAAGUUCACGACACUGGACAAACUCUCAUCAGGUAAGAUUUCACGGUGAACGUCCAUCUAUUUUUCGGUGGUGGUUCGCACCAAACGCGCAACAUCUCCCAGUCAGUUGUGAUUUUGUCAUUCCAAGCGCAACGAAUACCGAAUUCUGAUGCAUCAUCAACAAGUUCCCCAAAAGCACCAAAAUGAAUUACUGGUACGAAAACAAUCCGAUGCCUUUACUUUCCACAUGAACACUUCAUCGAGUUCGUGUCAAGCACUUGAAGAUAAAUUUUAUGGUCAAACAUAGAGGUAUACAAUGGUCCAUUGUAAAGUCCAAUACAAAUAAGAGAAAGAUUGGAUGUUAUCUAAAUUUCUCUGCUGUCCACAGUUAACCAAACAAAUACGUCACAAGUCAACUGUCAACAAAACUCGGGUGAUCCGGACUUGUUUUCCCCCUCCAACUAACCAAACCUGGCCUUUGGUCCGUUUGGGACGGGGCCGAUAUUGACAAAGUUCAUUGUUAAAGUCAGUGUGACAAGAAAACCUUUUUUUGGUGAUAUACAAGGACAGAUUUGGAAUGGAAAUACCCUGUUUGUUUUAAAACUCCUAUAUAAAAACAGUCCACAAAACUGUUGAUAUUUUUAAUACAAACUUGACUGAGAGGCUCAUUACAAACCCAAACUUUCUGAUCAUUCAGUGAAUGAUCAAAGGGGAAAAGUAUAACGAGACACUUUACUUUAACCUAUGAUGUCGAGGCACAAAGAUUGGCCCAAUAUUACGUCCACCAUUUAAUGGAAUUUGGUGAAACAGCAACUUCUACGUAGAUUAAGUUGAACGUGUUCCAAACCACGUACGUGCGGAGCGUGAACAAAACAAGACGCAAGAGAAAUGAAGUGAGUCCACAGUACUGACGGGAGUGGUACCAUAAAAGGAACUGAUGGGAGUGGUACCAUAAAAGGAACCUUGAUACUUGUUCAGUUUACAGUACACCAUUUUAAUUGUGCAAUGCCACCCCCCAAAAGAGUUAGCUUUGGUUUUCCAGAUGAUCCAAACAAGCUAGUGUUCUGCAGACCGUGCACUGCUCGGGGUCUAAGUUCAAUCAGAACUUUUUUUAGUUCGCGAGAUACUGCAGUUAUAAGUGCUGGGUUUCAUAAUACCGCAUUAUCAAGUUCAGGCCACGAACUGGAGAGCUUGCAACUUGGAACAACACUAAAAGACCACCCAAAUUUAUUGAGAGUAACACAAAGUACUUGGUAACACAGCUGUUGUAUCAACAAAAUAAAUCGAGGGUGGAAACUUCAUAUCGUCAACAGAUUUCUGCGCACCGAUCAGCUCUAGACUUUUUUUUCCAGUAAUGUCAAGAUCGUGCUAGUCUCUUUUCCUACCUCCAUGGCUAGACCUGUGUUGUGAUGGUAAUCUACCUAUUCAAGAAAAACUAGUUAAGUAUGCAACCUUCGCACGUGCACUUGCACGUGGUUGAAACUGCCCGUAGGAAUAUAUGCGAUCCCCUUGGCCAAUACGGUCCACACGUGGUGGUAUUUACAUUUAGUCACGUGGGUGAAAAAGGUCUAUUGUAUUGCAGUAAGUUUAAUCAAACAGUGAGGAAAAACUGUACUGAAGCGUUUUCAGAGUGGAUCGGUUUAAUCUACUUGAAAACGUGUCCAUGGGAGAAUUGGGCGUUCCCAGUAAUUUCUGGU
rnacentral:lncRNA from 1 species